UACGAAGGGGCUAGCGUUGCUCGGAAUCACUGGGCGUAAAGCGCACGUAGGCGGGUCCUUAAGUCAGGGGUGAAAUCCUGGAGCUCAACGUCCAGAACUGCCUUUGAUACUGAGGAGCUUGAGUCCGGAGAGGUGAGUGGAACUGCGAGUGUAGAGGUGAAAUUCGUAGAUAUUCGCAAGAACACCAGUGGCGAAGGCGGCUCACUGGCCCGGUACUGACGCUGAGGUGCGAAAGCGUG
rnacentral:rRNA from 1 species